GAUGAACGCUAGCGGCAGGCUUAAUACAUGCAAGGCGAGGGGGCAGCAAUGUCACCGUCGUACGGGUGCGUAACGCGUAUGCAACCUACCUCAAUCAGGGGGAUAGCCCGAAGAAAUUCGGAUUAAUACCGCAUAACAACACAGUACAGCAUUGUACAAUGUUCAAAUAUUUAUAGGAUUGAGAUGGGCAUGCGUGUCAU
rnacentral:rRNA from 1 species